UUGAAAGGCUACAAGGAGAGAAAAUGAGAUCUGAGGACAGGAAGGUGGAAUUAAUUUCAUGCUUAGCAAAAUGAGGGUUUCAGCAGAGCAACCUUUUUGUGGCGAGGCUACAGAAUCAGAAGGAACGUGUGUCUGGGCAACUGGGAGCUUUACAGUUUUUCAUUCAGCCAACCAACACAUUGGGGUUGGCAUCAUCGCAAAUGGCUGGCAAAGAUUGCUUGUAACUGUCAGUGUAGAACAGUAAAGGCAGGUAUAGGUUAGGGAGGGUAUCCAUCCAUGAACUCUGACUGGAUGUGAGGACCUGUCACACUUGACCAGAGAUGAAGGCUGCUGAACCGACCCUUCUACAACGCGGACUUCGCCCAAGAUGAACCGACCUUUUCCACCUCUUUUCCACAGGAUGUCUUCAGAUGUUGGAUCUUGCCAAACUGUGCACAUGCCUCAAUGGCUGCUACGUCACUCUGCCCAACAGGACAUGGUCACCGAGAUUUUUUUUAAAACAUUUUUAAAUGGACUUUAACCCCCCCCUGUCCCCACUGACCCACAACCACACAUGACAAAGCACUGUACAUGUGAUGCAUCACCACACUAAAAUACAGACACUGCUACUUUCAGCCUGUAAGGUUAGACAUUGAAAACUUGUAUUUAUUGCCUUCUUUAUAUCAAGUAAAACUUUUGUUCUUAA